AGUAUACAAUAACAAUAGCCAUGAUGAGGACUAUGGUCCUGAAGUCGAAAAUGCAGUAUUGGAGUUGACAUAUAUAACUACGGGGUCACAGAAUACAGUAAAGGAAAUGGUUAUGUACAGCUCCCAUGUCUUCUGCAACCUCAAUGCAAUGGGAGGCUACUAGAGCAGCUGCAGAUGCAAUUGCAGCUGAUGUCUUCUGGUGGGCAGCCAACAUUUCUGGUGACAUCACAUUUGAGGCAGCAAGUGCGGCAACUGCAGCAGCAACCCCAGCUACGGAUAUAGCUGCAUGAAGUUGGGCACUGAUGAAUAAGCUUGUGCCUUGUGGUUAAAAUAAGUUGGGAGAGUGACAUACCCCAUGUUUGAGCAAUUUUUGACUGGAAAGAAAUUCUGGAUCGAGUGCUUGGUGAAGUAGAAACAACUCCUGCACGGGCAAUAUACCUAUAGAGUAAGAGAUCUUACUGGCUCCUUCAAGGCCAUGGAACUCAUAUCGUUUGCCUCAGCACCUGCAGAACAGAGGGGCGGCUUCUCAAGAUUGGUGGAAGCAUUGACGGGUCUGUUGGAAAGCGCUUUAGAGAGCUCCAUGGCUGAGAGACUCCAUGAUCUUGCAAGGAAUUCCAUGGGCUCCGUAGGAGUCUCUGGUGGGGGACAUGAUGUGGGUAGUAGCCAGUCCAAAGCAGGACCAUUUUCAUCUAUGUUUACCAGCCUCUUCUGUGAUGAACUCUUUGUGCUGCAGGAGCUCACUGAGAACAUGACAAUGACAGGAAAGUGCCUACCGAGGAUGAUGUUCUCUAUGAAAUGAAGCUUAUGAAGUUUAGAAUCUUAUUUCUUAGGUCUGCAGAUUGAGAGGCCUGGUGUUGGAGCUGUGGUGAAAUUUCAAAUUUCUCAAACUAUCACAGAAAAGCACAGAAAAGAAGAAGCUGAAGGUGAUGGAAGAGUGAACACUGAACACCAAGGUAUUUAACAUGGGUUAUGAACUGAUUUACAUGCAUUUCUUUAAUCAGUUUAUGUCGAAGAAAAAAAAAAGGAAAAGUGGGUGUAUAGAUAUUGUGCAGAAAGGGUCCUCAUUAAAGUCAGUUAUUUUUUGUCCUCAUCAACUUAACUUACAAUGGCUAAACUUUUGUUCUCCACUCUUCCUGUGCUUUUGAUACAUAAAAAGAGCCAAAUACCAUA